AUGAACGCUGGCGGCGUGGAUGAGUCAUGCAAGUCAAACGGUCCUGCUUAGCUCGCAAGAGCGACGCAGGAUAGUGGCAGACGAGGUAGUAAUGCGUAGGAAUCUACUCUUAAGUCGGGAAUAAUUCGCCGAAAGGCGAACUAAUACCCGAUGGUCUCGCAAGAGUAAAGGAUUAAAAUUGAAAAAUUUUAAAUCGCUUAAGAAAGGGCCUACGUUGUAUCAGCUAGUUGGUAGGGUAAUGGCCUACCAAGGCUAAGACGCAUAGGGGGAGUGAGAGCUUGGCCCCCACCGAUGGAACUGAGAACGGUCCAUACACCUACGGGUGGCUGCAGACGAGAAUAUUCGACAAUGGGCGAAAGCCUGAUCGAGCGACGCCGCGUGAUGGAUGAAGUCCCUCUGGGACGUAAACAUCUUUUGUAGAGGAGAAAUCCCGGCUUGCCGGGAUGAUAGUACUCUAAGAAUAAGGGGUUGCUAAACUCGU
rnacentral:rRNA from 1 species